GUUUAACAAAAACAUGUCUUUUUGAUAAUAAUUUAAAGUCUGGCCUGCCCAAUGAAUUUAAUUUAAUGGCCGCGGUAUAUUGACUGUGCAAAGGUAGCAUAAUCAUUAGUUUUUUAAUUGAAAGCUGGAAUGAAAGGUUGAAUGAAAAAAUAACUGUCUCUAUUUAAAUUAUUUAGAAUUUUAUUUUUAAGUAAAAAAGCUUAAAUGAUAAUAAAAGACGAGAAGACCCUAUAGAGUUUUAUAUUUUUUAUUUUAGAAAUUUUUAGUAUCUAUAUUUUUGAUUUUAAGUGAGUAUUUUAUUGGGGUGAUAGAAAAAUUAAAUAAACUUUUUUUUAAAAAUUACACUAUUAAGUGAUUUUUUGAUCCUUUAUUUAAGAUUAAAAGAUUAAAUUACCUUAGGGAUAACAGCGUAAUUUUUUUUGAGAGUUCUAAUCGAAAGAAAAGAUUGCGACCUCGAUGUUGGAUUAAAA
rnacentral:rRNA from 1 species